CCUACGGGUGGCAGCAGUGGGGGAUAUUGCACAAUGGGGGAAACCCUGAUGCAGUGACGCCGCGUGAGUGAAGAAGUAUUACGGUAUGUAAAGCUCUAUCAGCAGGGAAGAAAAUGACAGUACCUGACCAAGAAGCCCCGGCUAACUACGUGCCAGCAGCCGCGGUAAUACGUAGGGGGCAAGCGUUAUCCGGAUUUACUGGGUGUAAAGGGAGCGUAGACGGUUAUGUAAGUCUGGAGUGAAAGCCCGGGGCUCAACCCCGGGACUGCUUUGGAAACUGUUUAACUGGAGUACGGGAGGGGCAGGCGGAAUUCCUGGUGUAGCGGUGAAAUGCGUAGAUAUCAGGAGGAAUACCGGCGGCGAAGGCGGCCUGCUGGACUGAAACUGACGUUGAGGCUCGAAAGCGUGGGGAGCAAACAGGAUUAGAUACCCGAGUAGUC
rnacentral:rRNA from 1 species